rnacentral:rRNA from 1 species
ACGAAGGGGGCUAGCGUUGCUCGGAAUCACUGGGCGUAAAGGGCGCGUAGGCGGCCUUGUAAGUUGGGGGUGAAAGCCCGUGGCUCAACCACGGAAUUGCCUUCGAUACUGCUUGGCUUGAGUGUGGUAGAGGUUGGUGGAACUGCGAGUGGGGGGGCAAAUGCAGUAUAGCUGCGGAAGAGACGCGGUGGCGUGGGCAGCAAACAGGAUAAGCUCCCCCACUAAGGCGCGUUUGCUUUUCUUACAACCAG